rnacentral:tRNA from 1 species
GCUGCGAUGGCCGAGUGGUUAAGGCGUUGGACUUGAAAUCCAAUGGGUUAUACCCGCGUAGGUUCGAACCCUACUCGCAGCG